UGGUUGUCGUCAGAUCGUGCCGUAAGGUGUUGGGUUAAGUCUCGCAACGAGCGCAACCCUCGUGUUUAGUUGCCACUAUGAGUUUGGAACCCUGAACAGACCGCCGGUGUUAAGCCGGAGGAAGGAGAGGAUGAGGCCAAGUCAUCA
rfam:Triticum aestivum genome assembly, contig: Triticum_aestivum_CS42_TGACv1_scaffold_406567_5BL